rnacentral:rRNA from 1 species
GACAGAGGGUGCAAACGUUGUUCGGAAUUACUGGGCGUAAAGCGCGUGUAGGCUGCUUGGAAAGUCGGAUGUGAAAGCCCCGGGCUUAACCUGGGAACUGCAUUCGAGACUGCAGUACUGGAGUGUGGGAGAGGGAAGCGGAAUUUCCGGUGUAGCGGUGAAAUGCGUAGAUAUCGGAAGGAACAUCAGUGGCGAAAGCGGCUUCCUGGCCCAACACUGACACUCAUGUGCGAAAGCGUGGGGAGCAAACAGG